rnacentral:rRNA from 1 species
UACGGAGGGUGCGAACGUUAAUCGGAAUUACUGGGCGUAAAGCGCGCGUAGGCGGAUUUGCAAGUCGGGGGUGAAAUCCCGAGGCUCAACCUCGGAACUGCCUUCGAUACUGCAAAUCUCGAGUCCGGAAGAGGUGAGUGGAAUUCCUAGUGUAGAGGUGAAAUUCGUAGAUAUCAGGCGGAACACCCGUGGCGAAGGCGGCUCACUGGCUCGAUACUGACGCUGAGGUGCGAAAGCGUGGGGAGCAAACAGG